GCAGCCCCUUCCUCCAUCUUCAGAGCCAGCAAGGGUGCAAGUCUCUGAUGCUUCUCCUGUGGUCACAUCUCUCUCUCCAGCCCAGCCAGGUUCCCAGAGAGUGACUUACUGUCAUCUGUAUGCAUCUGCCCCCCUCGGAUCUCACACCCAGCCCAGCCCCCUCCGGCCUGGCACGGGACUGGAGUCCCAUCUUUCCUCUCGCUAAGAAGCUAAAAUGUUUGCUGACCCCUGGCCUCGAAGCCCCUGUCUGCGGCUCACUUUCCUCAUCUAUGAAAUGUGGAGCCUGAGUUACAUACCAGAGAGGUUCCUUCCUGGAGAGAAGUGGUGUGGUUCUGUAGUCCGUUGUUCUUCUCUGUGUCCCAAGGGUCCGUGUUGCGCUCAUUGCGUGUGUCACAGCAGCUGCCACAAUGCCUGCAUGUUGCAGGCGCUCAGAUGGUGUCUCCGGCUCAUGUUGCAGUGGGAUGGGAGGGAGCUCAGAGCCUGGCUUUGCUGCGCAGAGCUGU